ACCGGUUCAAUUUGACUUGGCGCGCCUAAUAUCUCGACUCUUCCCCAUUUUAAACUGAAAUCAGACGAUCUCAUGUUUCCAUUCCACGAAUCCUCUCUAUAAAAUCGUGCCACACCACCAUUCCCUAACGCCAUUGUCUCUCACUUUUUCCAUUUUUGACGUUCUCUUUGAAAACCCUAGAUUCAUAAUGUACACCCAAACAUACCAACAAUCUCCAUCAACGUCUGAAGCUCUAACAUCACUGACUGCCUUGUAGAGUCGGAUACGACCACAAAUCGCUGAUGUCCAGUUUUUACCCUGCAGGUUGCUGUUAUGUUGUUCCAGAUACUAAUUUUGAUAUAAAUGCCGGUGUAUUUUAGUCCUCACCACCAAGUUAUGUCUAUCUUUUUCCAUUUUGUAAUCACAGACUCACACACUUUAGGAUUUUAAUAUCAAUGGUUGCAUGUUGAUCCUGAACCAUUUUCCUUGAAAAAAGUUUUCUAAUUGGGGUUUUUAUCUCAUUUUUAGGGAUGUGGAAAAAACCAAUGUAAAGGUUGUUAAUGGAAAUGACAGUGGUUCAGGAAGUUGAAAAGGGACUACUAUGAUAUGGGAUUCUUCUUCAGGCUUAAAAGGGAAUAGUUUAUAUUAAUAACCCGAGUUGUAGCAAACAUGUUGUUGGAGACAAGGCUGCCAAAGAGAAGUCAAAGGGGUUGGAGGUGCAACUCACUUAAUUCAUAGGGAGGGUACUCAUGGUUGCCUUUAGUAGUCAAAUAUUUUGUAGUCUUUUUAAAAAAAAAAUUGUAAAGGUUAGCUCGUUAGCUUUUGUUUGUUCUAUUUACAAUAUGUUAAGUAAGUUUUGUAAUAUGUUUACGCUCUCAAAUGUCGUAAAGUUUUUCCAUAUUUUGCAUGCUUUUUACCUUCAAAUGAUGUAAAUAUGAUAUUGGUUAGUCUUUGUUGUGAA